GACACGACUCUCGGCAACGGAUAUCUCGGCUCUCGCAUCGAUGAAGAACGUAGSGAAAUGCGAUACCUGGUGUGAAUUGCAGAAUCCCGCGAACCAUCGAGUCUUUGAACGCAAGUUGCGCCCGAGGCCACCCGGUCGAGGGCACGCCUGCCUGGGCGUCACG
rnacentral:rRNA from 1 species